GGGCAUGUAGUGUAGGGGUUAUCGCGCCUCAUUCGCAGAUACCGGAAUUAAACCGGCAAAUCGGUUGAGGAGGUCUCCGGUUCAAUUCCGGACUUGUCCA
rnacentral:tRNA from 1 species